AUUGAACGCUGGCGGCAGGCCUAACACAUGCAAGUCGAACGAGUGGCGGACGGGUGAGUAAUGUCUGGGAAACUGCCCGAUGGAGGGGGAUACCUACUGGAAACGGUAGCUAAUACCGCAUACCAUCGGAUGUGCCCAGAUGGGAUUAGCUUGUUGGUGGGGUAACGGCUAACCAAGGCGACGAUCCCUAGCUGGUCUGAGAGGAUGACCAGACACACUGGAACUGAGACACGGUCCAGACUCCUACGGGAGGCAGCAUUGGGGAAUAUUGCACAAUGGGCGAAAGCCUGAUGCAGCCAUGCCGCGGUUAUGAAGAAGGCCUUCGGGUUGUAAAGUACUUUCAGCGAGGAGGCGUUACUCGCAGAAGAAGCACCGGCUAACUCCGUGCCAGCAGCCGCGGUAAUAC
rnacentral:rRNA from 1 species